rnacentral:rRNA from 1 species
UACGGAGGAUGCGAGCGUUAUCCGGAUUUAUUGGGUUUAAAGGGUGCGUAGGCGGGCUUUUAAGUCAGCGGUAAAAAUUCGGGGCUCAACCCCGUCCGGCCGUUGAAACUGGGGGUCUUGAGUGGGCGAGAAGAAGGCGGAAUGCGUGGUGUAGCGGCGAAAUGCAUAGAUAUCACGCAGAACCCCGAUUGCGAAGGCAGCCUUCCGGCGCCCUACUGACGCUGAGGCACGAAAGUGCGGGGAUCGAACAGG